CCACACGGUGCCAUUUUAUCGCCACCCCUAUGGGUGACCACCAUAAAUGAGCUUUUACGGAUGCUGACUGAGGUGUGAUCUUGGACGGGAAACUGAAUUGGAAGUGUCACAUUCAGGAGCGUACUGAGAAGGCUGACAGAUGUUGGGCACUAUGUAGACGGGCCGUAGGCUCGAAAUGGGGCCUGAAUCCUACGAUAGUCCACUGGCUCUACAGGAGCGUGAUUAGACCAAUACUUAUUUACGCCUCAGUAGUUUGGUGGGCUGCUGUGGAGAAAAAGUGCAACAUAAGGAGCAUACAACAGGUUCAGAGAACAUGUUGUUUUGGCAUAGGCGGAGCGAUGAGGACCACGCCCACUAGGGCACUGGAGACUAUUCUAGAUAUCCGACCCAUUGACCUAAAGAUUAAGUGUGAGGCAGUCACUACGGCUAUGAGAUUUAAGGCGAUGGGAAAAUGGAUUGAGGAUGGGAGCAGCUCAUACCAUCGCGGUAUAAUCGAGGCGACGAUAGGAAACCAGGAAGGAAGGGGAGAGGUUUCCGAUCGGAUACCUGAGACGAACCUUGAAGUCGAGUACAACGCACUGCUGGCAUCGGCACAGUCUUGGAUUGACGGAACCCUAGUAUUGCCAUCCGGAAGAUCAUGUUACACGGAUGGAUCAAAGCUAGAGGACAGAGUGGGCCUGGGGGUUUACAUUGAAAACCCAGGAACUGUACUGUAAAUCGGUGCGGCAUGUGAUAGCAUGUGUAGGGAAUGCGGGGAAGAUGAUGAGUGUUGGUGCAUUUCCUUUGUCAUUGUCCGGCUUUCGCGUCCAUCAGAUACCGGUACUUAGGUGGAGACACAAUAUCAGACAUGAACCAACUAAGGAGAAUGGCAUUGAAAACAAUUAAGAAUUUUGUGUUCGGUUCGGGCACACUGCACUCCAUGCCAUCCAUUCAGUGGUUAUUAUUUUACCUUGAUAUUGACAAAUCACCAUACUCGAAUGACUGAUUUACUGUCAACCUUACAUUUUCCGCUUUGCCAGAACGGAAGUUCCGCGCUGUUGGGUGGAAGUAUUUGCAAAAUACUGUGACAAAUUGUAAUUAUUUCGCUGUGCGUUUCUGCUUUUCCUCCUUCUUCGUCCCCUUCAUCGGCUCUGACAGUGUUCGGAUUGUGAAAGUGGAAAUUUGGAAUGUAGGGCUAAAGCAUCAACAUGCCACCGAUGACAAUAUGUUAUCGUCAAACACACCAUCAUAGUCAGCGGCGCGCAACUGCUGAACUGAGUUUUGUUUAUUUGAUAACUUCAUUAAGAUAAUUUACAAACUUCAUUAA